GACGUAGGGCGCGAGCGUUGUCCGGAUUUAUUGGGCGUAAAGAGCUCGUAGGCGGCUUGUCGCGUCGACCGUGAAAACUUGGGGCUCAACUCCGAGCCUGCGUUCGAUACUGGACGGCUAGAGUCUGGUAGGGGGAUCUGGAAUUCCUGGUGUAGCGGUGGAAUGCGCAGAUAUCAGGAGGAACACCGGUGGCGAAGGCGGGAUCCUGGGCCAGUACUGACGCUGAGGAGCGAAAGCGUGGGGAGCAAACAGG
rnacentral:rRNA from 1 species